UACAGAGGUCCCGAGCGUUGUUCGGAUUUACUGGGCGUAAAGGCGCGUAGGCGGCAAUUCAAGUCAGCUGUGAAAUCUCCGGCUUAACUCGGAACGGUCAGCUGAUACUGCUUGCUAGAGUGCAGAAGGGCAAUCGGAAUUCUUGGUGUAGCGGUGAAAUGCGUAGAUAUCAAGAGGAACACCUGAGGUGAAGACGGGUUGCUGGGCUGACACUGACGCUGAGGCGCGAAGCUAGGGUAGCAAACGGG
rnacentral:rRNA from 1 species